GACGAACGCUGGCGGCGUGCUUAACACAUGCAAGUCGAGCGGUAAGGCACCUUCGGGUGUACACGAGCGGCGAACGGGUGAGUAACACGUGAGUAAUCUGCCCUUCACUUCGGGAUAACCGCCGGAAACGGUGGCUAAUACCGAAUACGACGCACUCCCGCAUGAGAUGUGCGUGGAAAGUCUUAUCGGUGGAGGAUGUGCUCGCGGCCUAUCAGCUUGUUGGUGGGGUAACGGCCUACCAAGGCUUCGACGGGUAGCCGGCCUGAGAGGGUGACCGGCCACACUGGGACUGAGACACGGCCCAGACUCCUACGGGAGGCAGCAGUGGGGAAUAUUGGACAAUGGGCGAAAGCCUGAUCCAGCAACGCCGCGUGAGGGAUGACGGCCUUCGGGUUGUAAACCUCUUUCAGCGCAGACGAAGCGAAAGUGACGGUAUGCGCAGAAGAAGGACCGGCCAACUACGUGCCAGCCGCCGCUGUAACAC
rnacentral:rRNA from 1 species